UUCGUUUGUGUUAUUGUUACUCAAAACUAUAAAAGUAAACAAAAAAGAAAACUACCUUUAUCUACUUUUGUCGAUGUCCAUUUCUUAAGAAGUUUCUCAUUAAAACAACCCAUAACUCCACGUCCACGCCCAUGGCAGAGCUAGGGUGGUUAGCGUAACUACAAGUGGUUAACUACAGUUAGCCAACUGAAGAACAAUGGCCGAUUAAUUAGUGGUCGCGCUACUUAUCUACUACAUGUCCCUGCUGCCAGUUAUAGCAAUAAUUUCUUUGUUGGGAAGUAUUUAGCACAUCCUGGCUGCGCAAAAGGGGAGGACUAAAUUGAUUACUAUGAACAGACCAUUACGAUGAACCACUGAUAUUGACACAGAGACAUGAAGAUGAGUGCUUUGACAACAAGACUGACUAGCUGAGCCAGCUUUAAGAAUUAUGUGGUGUGUGGUGUGUGUGUGUAAUCCCAGGAGCUCUCUAUGUCAGCCAUCCAUCUAUAUUCUUACUCAUUUUUGUUAAUUAUAAAAUAAAUUUGAUUAUUUAUA